AAAGAGAGCCGUAACACAGGUGCUGCAUGGCUGUCGUCAGCUCGUGUCGUGAGAUGUUGGGUUAAGUCCCGCAACGAGCGCAACCCUUGUCAUUAGUUGCUACAUUUGGUUGGGCACUCUAAUGAGACUGCCGGUGACAAGCCGGAGGAAGGUGGGGAUGACGUCAAGUCCUCAUGGCCCUUAUAGGUGGGGCUACACACGUCAUACAAUGGCUGGUACAAAGGGUUGCCAACCCGCGAGGGGGAGCUAAUCCCACAAAGCCAGUCGUAGUCCGGAUCGUAGUCUGCAACUCGACUACGUGAAGCCGGAAUCGCUAGUAAUCGUGGAUCAGAAUGUCACGGUGAAUACGUUCCCGGGUCUU
rnacentral:rRNA from 1 species